AGGGAGCAUGUUACGUUAACCGAAUCGAAUAGCAUCUCAGUGGGGAAAAGUCAAGGAAGAGGAAAGGAUAUCAGUGUUGCAUGCACAAAGAGGAAAAGCCAUGUGAACACACAGCAAAAAGGUGGCUGUCUGCAAAUCAAGGAGAGAAGCCUCAGGAGAAACCAAACCUGCCAGAACCUUAAUUUUGGACUUCUAGCCUCCAGAACUUUCCAUCCUCAGGCUCAAGCAGGAAUUUAUUCUGGUUUAGUGAUAUUAUCCUGCCAUCAUCCAGCCGGCUCACAUCCUCUGCACCAUCUGUUUGUGAUAUAUCUUCACUACAGCUUUUGUUACAAGAAGGAAAGUAUUUAGCUGGAGUUAUUUUUUUUCUUUGAUAAGCACAUUGUUAUAACUUCAAAAACCUUGGAGUUACUGUUUAUUUGUUACACAUUCAAAGAUAUUAAUUUAAAAAAAUCUUCAGUGUCAAUGUGGUAAAAGGAAUCACCUACCCUUUCUGUUCUAGGUAUGUAUUUUUCAACAGUAAGCGUUACUAGUAAGUUUUAAUUAAUAUUUGUUUUCUUGUCCUUUCCAACAGUGUAAUAACUGUAUAUAGUCUUUCAAGUCAUUGUUACUAUAACAGACCUCUUUCUAACUAUUAAAUUCCAUAGGGGAAGGGAAGCUGGAUUUGAUUCAGUAAAAACUGAUGAACUAGUAAGGAUGAGAAGAAUACCAUAUUUUAUCUCCCCUGGUAUAAUGAUUAAGUAGAGUUCCUUUUCUUUAACAUUCUCUCAAUUUCCCCAAUUCUUCAUCUGAGUUAAUACACUACCAAAUAACAAUCAGUUAUUUCAUUUGUUUGGGACUUCUCCCAUUUCAUUGAGCCUCAUCUUAAAUUCCAUCCAAUCAAAUUUUUUUUUUCUACCCUGAAAAGAGUG